GACAUUUGGUAGAGACUGUUGAAGCCACCUGGUCCCAGCAGACCCCAGAAAGCGGCCGCAUUCACUGGUGCUGGAACAAGGUCUUUGGGGAUGAAGCCUGGUGCCAGAUGUGU
rnacentral:rRNA from 1 species